rnacentral:rRNA from 1 species
UACAGGGGUGGCAAGCGUUGUUCGGAAUUACUGGGCGUAAAGGGUCUUUAGGUGGCUUGCUAAGUCAGACGUGAAAUCCCUCAGCUUAACUGGGGAACUGCGUCUGAUACUGGCAAGCUUGAGUGCAGGAGAGGAACGCGGAAUUCCAGGUGUAGCGGUGAAAUGCGUAGAUAUCUGGAGGAACACCGGUGGCGAAGGCGGCGUUCUGGACUGCAACCGACACUGAGAGACGAAAGCCAGGGGAGCAAACGGG